CCUGGCUCAGAUUGAACGCUGGCGGCAGGCCUAACACAUGCAAGUCGAGCGGAUGAGUGGAGCUUGCUCCAUGAUUCAGCGGCGGACGGGUGAGUAAUGCCUAGGAAUCUGCCUGGUAGUGGGGGACAACGUUUCGAAAGGAACGCUAAUACCGCAUACGUCCUACGGGAGAAAGCAGGGGACCUUCGGGCCUUGCGCUAUCAGAUGAGCCUAGGUCGGAUUAGCUAGUUGGUGAGGUAAAGGCUCACCAAGGCGACGAUCCGUAACUGGUCUGAGAGGAUGAUCAGUCACACUGGAACUGAGACACGGUCCAGACUCCUACGGGAGGCAGCAGUGGGGAAUAUUGGACAAUGGGCGAAAGCCUGAUCCAGCCAUGCCGCGUGUGUGAAGAAGGUCUUCGGAUUGUAAAGCACUUUAAGUUGGGAGGAAGGGCAGUAAGUUAAUACCUUGCUGUUUUGACGUUACCGACAGAAUAAGCACCGGCUAACUUCGUGCCAGCACCG
rnacentral:rRNA from 1 species